rnacentral:rRNA from 1 species
GGAAAGGCACGCCAGAGAGGGUGAGAGCCCCGUGCGUGGCACCGCUGGUCUGGGACGCUACUGUCUUCGGAGAGUCGGGUUGUUUGGGAUUGCAGCCCAAAGUGGGUGGUAAACUCCAUCUAAAGCUAAAUACCGGCACGAGACCGAUAGCGAACAAGUACCGUGAGGGAAAGGUGAAAAGUACUUUGAAAAGAGAGUCAAAAAGACCGCGAAACCGUUAGGAGGGAAACGAAUGCAGCUGAAGUGGCUCUCCGUCAGGCUCAGGAGACGUCGGCGAGUCCUGCCCGGCAUCGGGAGCCGAGAGGCCCCGGUGCCCCGCGGGGGCUUCCCGUCUACUCUGCACUUCUGCGGAGAGCCGGCCAACAGCAGUUGCUCCCGGCUCAGGAGGGCGCGUCUGGGGAGGUAGCUCUGCGCUUGCGUGGAGAACGUAUAGCCCCGCGUCUGGGCAGUCCGGGGGCGACCGAGGAGAGUUGCGAAUCUUCGCACUGGCAGCGCAGGCCCCCCGGGGCUGGGCCGCUCCCACCGGCGGGGAGGCUGCGGUGGUUCACUGCGUGCAGUGUCCGCCGACUGUCCGAACUGCCGGCGAGAGGCCGGCCACACCUUGCGCUGCGGUUGUUGGUGCCCGAAUGGCUGCAUCCGACCCGUCUUGAAACACGGACCAAGGAGUGCAACAUGCGUGCGAGUCUUGGGGUGGCAAACCCGUCGGCGCAAUGAAAGUGAAGGCAGGCGUCGUGGUCUGCCGAGGCGAGAGCCUCCCCCGCGGAGGCCCAUCGUCGACCGAUCCCAAGCCACGCCGUGGCGGGAUUUGAGUGAGAGCGUGCCUGUUGCGACCCGAAAGAUGGUGAACUAUGCCUGAAUAGGGCGAAGCCAGGGGAAACUCUGGUGGAAGCUCGCAGCGAUUCUGACGUGCAAAUCGAUCGUCAAAUUUGGGUAUAGGGGCGAAAGACUAA